ACUGAAUCGAGGGCCUUGUGCAUGCUAGGCAAGCACUCUACCCACUGAGCUAUACCUCCAAUCCCAUCAUUCUACUUUUUGUUUUCAUGAGUUUGAUUACUUCAUAUACCUCAGAGUAAGAAAAUUUAGAUAUUGAAAGCAUUAGAAACUUGCCAUAAAUCCCUUUGCUCAAAGUGGAAGAACUGGGAUUCAAAUUAGAGGUGGGCCAUUGCAGAGCUCAGUGACAUGUCCCAGUGAGGAGUGGAAAAAGAGGCAACACCCUACUGUGUGAGAACAGGGAAGGAGAACAAAACUUCAACCUUAUUAGCAUUGUUUGCUUUUUGUUGGUGAGAAAAUUAUAGGAAUUCAAAAUUCACCAAAUUGAAUUAUCCUAUAAUUUAUUAUUGUAUUGAGAGAACCCAUAUUUAUUACCCAGUAAUUCCCUUGUUUAUUUCUUUGUAAAAAGUGAAGUAACUAAAGAUAAAGCACCUAAUAUUUCAAGAAAUGAAAAAAACUGUCUUUUAAAAAGACCUACUUAAACUAGGUCACCAUUUUUGGGGGACAGCAAAGAGGCCGAUAGAGAAUUAUAUCACAAGAAAAAGUGUAUAUACUGGAAUAAGGAACUAUAUUCAGGGAAUAGCUAUGGGGGUUUAAUGUUCAAAUUGAAUUUAAGAAUAAAGAAUCAUGCAUGGAUGCUAAGGAGAAGGUUCAAGUAAGGAGGGAGAAAAUGAAUGAUUUACCAAAGGCCAAGAGUAUCACCAAGAACUAAGAGGGAAUGGACAUUUUAAAACUGAAUCAUAUCAGAUAUCAGUGAAGAAUAAAGCAGAGAUGAUAUGGAAAGAAAAGUGUUCUAGUAGGAUUGGUAGGGAUGUAAUAAGUCAAAGGAGGUGAAGAUUGGGAAAGUUGGAUUCAAGGCUGCUUACCAAAGGACCCCCAAAAGAGAUGGUUAACAAUAAGUGAAAAAAUCUGCUGAUAUGAACUUGUUAAGUGACAGAAAAGAAAAUUUGAGACAGCUAAAUAAUUUACUGCUGCUGCAUAUUCGAUCUUAAAUGAAUUCAUCUUUCUAAGAAUCAUUGUCCAAAAAUGGAAGAAGAUUACCUGAUUUGGAAUCAAUAUUGAGAGUGGCACAAAUUAAUUAGAGUGGAAUCAGAAAACUAAUGGCAAAGGUAAUGGAGUCAUGAGAGAAUGUGGAUGACCCAAAAGAACUUAGUUUCAGUUAUGCUCUGCACAAGAAAAAACAUGAAAGGCAUUGGCCUUCUACUAUGAGCAGAUGCAGUAAGGAUAACAUUAAGCAGAACUAUUUAAUUCUAAUUUUGUUUCUUCUCUAUCAAGAAGGAACAGAUCUAGCACAAUUAAGAAAGAAAUUUGUCUGUGAAAAUGGGUAGGAAAUAUUUACAUACUCUCAAAAAUCUACCCAGCAUCCUUAAGAGGAAAUGCAUUUUUGUUGGUGUGAUUCUGUACUAUAACCACAAAGAAUACUCAUAGCCAUUUUCUUAUUUUCACAUGACUAUUUAAGUUAUGCAUGUUCUUUACAAUGCCUCUAGGUUAGUGAUUUUCAAACUUCUUGAAUGUGACCUACUGUAGGAAAUUAUUUUAUAUUGUACCUUAUGCAAAUGCACAUAAAAAAUAAAAUUUUCAUAAAUA